GCCCGGCCCCCAGCGAAGCGCGGGCCAGCCCCAGCGCCCAGCUGGAUCCCGGAAUAACCGGUGAAGACGGCUCCCCGGAAUCCCCGCCCCUAGCGGGCUCUCCCGGACCCCCGGCCCGCGCUAGUCUUUGCCAGGAUCCCGCGCAAAGGAUCAAGUCCCAGCUUCCCUUUCCCCACCGAGAGUCUCCAGCGCCAACCGCGGGCCGUCGGGCGGGUCCCUGACCCGCAGUUACUCAGCUACCUCUCUGGUGGAGGAGGUGUCAGCGACUUGAGAAUGAGUGCGCCAAAGAAGACAGAGCCACGCCUGAGCCUCCUUCAACAAAGCCUGCACUUCCUGUUCUCUUCUCAAGCGUGCUGUCAGCAGAUCUUGACUGAAACCUCUGUGCCCUGCCCUGUCCUUGGCACCAGACGCAGAGGAAAGGAUCAGGCCCAGUCCCUCCUCUGACUGACAGUGCUAAACCAGCUACCUGUUCUGAGCAAGCCCUUUGAAGACUGGGAACACGAAUUUGCCCAACAGCUGCCUGGCUUAAGGGUUAGGCCGUUGAUAUAAAAAUACAUGGCUAACGUAACCUACUACCACUCUCCCGGCUCUGUUAAGCUCCUGUCACACUAGCCUUCGUUAAGUUCCUAAACACGUCAAACUCAGCCACCUCACAGCCUUUGUAUCUGCUGUUGCUUCUGCAUGAAACACUCUCCCCUGCUCCCAGUUCCUCAUGCAGCUGGUCUCUUAUUCUUCCAGAUACAGCUCAAUGUGUCUCCUUAGAAACUUUGACUCUGCCCACCCCUUCAAAAUCAGUCUGUGGCCAAAAUUGGACCAUUACAUCUGUCUGCCCCUCCCCCAACAGAUAGUGAUUGCCACUUUUCAGGUCAGAGACUGUGCCUCAUUCAUCUCUGUGACACUAGGACCCAGCCAUAGACCCUGCACAUAGUAAGUGCUCUGUAAAAGCUGGAUUACAUGAGUUAAUUCACUUGAACACUCAGAUACUAAAAACUAAUACUCAA